AUUGAACGCUGGCGGCAUGCCUUACACAUGCAAGUCGAACGGUAACAGGUCUUCGGAUGCUGACGAGUGGCGAACGGGUGAGUAAUACAUCGGAACGUGCCCGAUCGUGGGGGAUAACGGAGCGAAAGCUUUGCUAAUACCGCAUACGAUCUACGGAUGAAAGCGGGGGAUCUUCGGACCUCGCGCGGACGGAGCGGCCGAUGGCAGAUUAGCUAGUUGGCGGGGUAAUGGCCCACCAAGGCGACGAUCCGUAGCUGGUCUGAGAGGAUGAUCAGCCACACUGGAACUGAGACACGGUCCAGACUCCUACGGGAGGCAGCAGUAGGGAAUAUUGGACAAUGGGCGCAAGCCUGAUCCAGCCAUGCCGCGUGAGUGAAGAAGGCCCUCGGGUUGUAAAGCUCUUUUGUCCGGAAAGAAAAGCGCCGGGUUAAUACCCUGGUGUCCUGACGGUACCGGAAGAAUAAGCACCGGCUAACUUCGUGCCAGCAGCCGCGGU
rnacentral:rRNA from 1 species